rnacentral:rRNA from 1 species
CAGCAGCCGCGGUAAUACGGAGGAUGCGAGCGUUAUCCGGAUUUAUUGGGUUUAAAGGGUGCGUAGGCGGCCUGUUAAGUCAGCGGUGAAAUCUAGGAGCUUAACUCCUAAAUUGCCAUUGAUACUGGCGGGCUUGAGUGUAGAUGAGGUAGGCGGAAUGCGUGGUGUAGCGGUGGAAUGCAUAGAUAUCACGCAGAACUCCGAUUGCGAAGGCAGCUUACUAAGGUACAACUGACGCUGAAGCACGAAAGCGUGGGUAUCAAACAGGAUUAGAUACCCUGGUAGUCCACGCAGUAAACGAUGAUAACUGGGCGUAUGCGAUAUACAGUAUGCUCCUAAGCGAAAGCGUUAAGUUAUCCACCUGGGGAGUACGCCGGCAACGGUGAAACUCAAAGGAAUUGACGGGGGCCCGCACAAGCGGAGGAACAUGUGGUUUAAUUCGAUGAUACGCGAGGAACCUUACCCGGGAUUGAAAUGUAGAUGACCGCUCCUGAAAGGGAGUUUUCCUUCGGGACAUCUAUGUAGGUGCUGCAUGGUUGUCGUCAGCUCGUGUCGUGAGAUGUUGGGUUAAGUCCCGCAACGAGCGCAACCCUUGUCAUUAGUUGCCAUCAUUUGGUUGGGCACUCUAAUGAGACUGCCGGUGACAAACCGGAGGAAGGUGGGGAUGACGUCAAGUCCUCAUGGCCCUUAUGACUUGGGCUACACACGUGCUACAAUGGAUGGUACAACGAGCAGCGAACUCGUGAGGGUAAGCGAAUCUCUUAAAGCCAUUCUCAGUUCGGAUUGUAGGCUGCAACUCGCCUACAUGAAGCCGGAAUCGCUAGUAAUCGCGGAUCAGCACGCCGCGGUGAAUACGUUCCCGGGUCUUGUACACACCGCCCGUCACACCACGAGAGUUUGUAACACCCAAAGUCGGUGAGGCAACCUUUUGGAGCCAGCCGCCUAAGGUGGGAUAGAUGAUGGGGUGAAGUCGUAACAAGGUAGCCGUA